rnacentral:rRNA from 1 species
GGGGAAGUAUUGCACAAUGGCGGCAAGCCUGAUGCAGCCAUGCCGCGUGUAUGAAGAAGGCCUUCGGGUUGUAAAGUACUUUCAGCGAGGAGGAAGGUGUUGUGGUUAAUAACCGCAGCAAUUGACGUUACUCGCAGAAGAAGCACCGGCUAACUCCGUGCCAGCAGCCGCGGUAAUACGGAGGGUGCAAGCGUUAAUCGGAAUUACUGGGCGUAAAGCGCACGCAGGCGGUCUGUCAAGUCGGAUGUGAAAUCCCCGGGCUCAACCUGGGAACUGCAUCCGAAACUGGCAGGCUAGAGUCUUGUAGAGGGGUAGG